CGUUUUUUCCAACUAAAUUAGUUUCCAGCUCAAGAAAACAGAAACGACCGUUUCAUAAAAUUGAGGACAUGCUUGUGUCAAACGUAAAGUAACAAAACAUAUAUGACCUUGCGUCAAAGAACUCCCGAUGUUUUUACAAACGGCACUGCGUAAUAAGUUUUAUAAAACGUUACAGAUAGCGAAGUUAUGCCUCAACGCCUCGCGGAUACCAACUUUAUUACGUCAUCAGUUGAUAAACGGCUCUAGUGCUUAAUAGACGUCUAGACCACGCUGAACGCGAGCUUCGUUCACAUCACAUGCAAGCUCCAAGAUCUGGAGAUUUUCGCAUACAUCGCUCUUCCGCGGAACUCCCCGCAAAAAACGACCAAACAAAGUCUUCAAGCCC